rnacentral:rRNA from 1 species
ACGUAGGGGGCAAGCGUUGAUCGGAAUCGCUGGGCUUACAGCGCGUGUAGGCGGGGCGGCAGGUCUUCUGUGAAAUCUCCCGGCUCAACCGGGAAGGGUGCCUCGAAAACUGGCAGGCUUGAGGCAGGGAGAGGGAUGUGGAAUUCCCGGUGUAGUGGUGAAAUGCGUAGAUAUUGGGAAGAACACCGGUGGCGAAGGCGGCUCACUGGACCGGCACUGACGCUGAGGCGCGAAAGCGUGGGGAGCAAACAG